CAGGAUCGCCGCCCCGAGCGGGGCUCUGCGGGCACGGUCGCCGCCGGCGGGCUGGCAAGGCUGGGGAUGCGCGGCCUGGGGGUGGCCCGCGGGCUCAGACCCGCGGAGGAGGCGGCGGCGCACCGAAGAGCCCGCGUGGGAACAACUGCCUGCAGUGCCCUGUUGGUUUUCCUGAUUAUAUAGUUGGUGACUUUGGCCUUCUGAUUUGAUUCAGCUUGCUGCGGGCAGGGAAUACAAUGUGUACUGCUCCGGCUGACUGCAACGCCCAUCUCCGUGCUCAAUAAAGAGUUUAUAGCUGAAUUAAUAAAGAAAUGUUUAUUGCAAGGAUCAAAUAGUAUAAUGUACAGAAAAGCACUUUACAGAAUAGAAAACACUUCAGUCAUUAAGACUAUCCUGUUAUCUCCUAGUAGGAGAGAGGAUCAGAUUGGGCAAGUAAGUGCCCUAGAUCAUCCAGCUGUUCUGCUCUGCAGCCAAGAAUCAAAUUUGGCUCUUAGUCACAGCUCUGGGCUUUUGGCAGUUCACUUAGAUGGAAAUUUCUUAUUAAGUGACUCUGAUGAAACAUGCAUAUAUCAUCAGCUUACUGCUAUAAAAAGAUGCUCAUCAGACGCAUCUUUUGCCAGCCUCUGAUGGGUUAACCUGCCAAGGCUUUUUCUAACCCUAUUUCCUUUCUUUUUACAAGGGUUUUUCUUUUUCUUUUUCUUUUUUUUUUUUUUUUACCAGGUAGCUGAGAAGGGCUCUCUUCUCCCUUUUUUCCUACAGUCGUGACAUUUGAUGAAAAGCACUUCUGACGCCCUGGCCAGUUUUCAGGAGCCCAGAUCUGGGGCUGUGUGUCAGGAAUGUGUGUCUGUGAGCAUUCCAGGUUCUCAGCCUGUGUGUCUCCCAACACGGCCUGCCGGUAACAGUCAUGACUGGAGUGUCUGCACAAUGAGCUCCUGGG